UACGAAGGGGGCUAGCGUUGCUCGGAAUUACUGGGCGUAAAGCGUACGUAGGCGGAUCCUUAAGUCGGUGGUGAAAUCCUGAAGCUCAACUUCAGAACUGCCUUCGAUACUGGGGACCUUGAGUUCGGGAGAGGUGAGUGGAACUGCGAGUGUAGAGGUGAAAUUCGUAGAUAUUCGCAAGAACACCAGUGGCGAAGGCGGCUCACUGGCCCGAUACUGACGCUGAGGUACGAAAGCGUGGGGAGCAAACAGG
rnacentral:rRNA from 3 species